AAGGCAGAUAAAUAAAUAAAGAGGAUUGAUACGAAUAUGGUGGCCUGCUGGACACGCGUAGGUGUGGGGGCAGGGGAGAGGCCCAUUAUUGGAGGAAAGACUUUUUAGGAUGUAUGGAAUCGUUGGAAUAUUGAUGUCGUUUCAGCACUGCAAAUGGACCUUUUCCUUAUCUAGAACCCUAGGGUAGGAGUCGAGGUAACACUGCCACCCAAAUCUCUAUUUCUUGACUAGAAAGGAUAGACUGAUUUGGGACCUCCUUCAUUGGAAUAAAAUGGCACCCUAUGCAACCUUUCUUUCAUGUGCUUUUAUGAUUCUUGACCCGGAAAAAAAUGUCUUCAAAACAAAUAAUUCUUUAAAUAAAAUUUGAAUUAAGAUAAAAUUUAGUCAUGUUUUGGAGAGAUUUUUUAAAAUUUAUUUGUAAUUAAAAUUCUUCAAAUAAAAAAAAAAUUUAACGUGUGAAUUUAAAAUUUUUUAACGACACGUUCUUAAAAACAAAAACAAAAAAAAAUCAAUUUUCAUAAAAUCUUUGCUCAAAAGAUUUCAUCAACACAAACUCUUGAAUAUAUACUUCACCAACAUGGCCUUGAUAGAUAAAGAUGUUUGUUACCUUCGUUUGUGUUUCACGCGUGUUAAUUCGUUAACAAUUAAAGAGGAUCAGACGAUUGUGUAAGGGACGAAACCUCUUGAGACAAUGUCCCAAAAAGGGGUGUUCCUUUUAUUGGCGAUAAACUUUACAAUUGGAAACGGAAAACAACGUGCCUUCAAGGGGCGCAAGCACACGAGUUACAGAAAAGGAAGUGUUUAAAUCUAAAAACUAAAUGAAUGAAAAUUACAUAUUCUCUGUUCGAGAGUUUUGGAUUCGAUUUUUUGCUUCUAAGUUCUUUCUCCCUUUUAUACUUCAUAGGCGAUCCCUUUGUGAUUAACUGCUCUAAAAAACUGCUUGAUCGCCCUAUAACUACCAACUUUCUUUGUAGUGGCCAUUUUGUCAUGAAACUGUCCUUUUAACUGCUGCCAUUAUCUUGCAUUGUUCAACCGCUUUCGAUUGAACCCCUUGAGUCGUGGAACAUGGUAAGGUUACUUUAGCAACUGCCUCAAUAACUGCAUUUCUUGAUAAUCAUAAUGCGUUAUAUUUGUUGAUACCUUGGGCGACUUGAAGAUUUGGGAGAGACUCCGGGCGACCGUAUGCCACUCUAUUCGUUCAGACUCUGAGCGACUUGCAAACUUGGAUGAUGGCGUUACCGCACUAUUGGGCCCCUUAUUUGGGCCUUCACCUUGAUUCGUUCAAUUGGAUUUCGUUCUUUGGGCUAUUUGAUUUGGGGAUCCUCCAAUUGGGCUUUACUCUUUGGGCUGUUCGAUUUGGGGAUCCUCCAAUUGGGCUUUACUCUCUGGGCUGUUCGAUUUGGGCUGAAUUUUUAUGUGUCAACAAUUACCCCCCAAUAUGGCAGAAUUAAUAAAAAUUAUUGAAUUUUGCCAUAUUCACUUUACGUCUCCAGCAACGUUCGCGAUUCCCAAAGAAUUUCAAUCAUUGUUUCCUUCUAUAACUUGAAAAGGUGCGUCGCUUUGCAA
rnacentral:lncRNA from 1 species